rnacentral:rRNA from 1 species
ACACCGGCAGCUCUAGUGGUAGCAACUUUUAUUGGGCCUAAAGCGUCCGUAGCCGGUUUAAUAAGUCUCUGGUGAAAUCCUGUAGCUUAACUGUGGGAAUUGCUGGAGAUACUAUUAGACUUGAGACCGGGAGAGGUUGGAGGUACUCCCAGGGUAGAGGUGAAAUUCUGUAAUCCUGGGAGGACCGCCUGUUGCGAAGGCGUCUAACUGGAACGGUUCUGACGGUGAGGGACGAAAGUUAGGGGCGCGAACCGGAUUAGAUACCCGGGUAGUCCUAACUGUAAACGAUGCGGACUUGGUGUUGGGGUGGCUUUGAGCUGCUCCAGUGCCGAAGGGAAGCUGUUAAGUCCGCCGCCUGGGAAGUACGGUCGCAAGACUGAAACUCAAAUGAAUUGGCGGGG